rnacentral:rRNA from 1 species
CCUACGGGUGGCUGCAGUGGGGAAUAUUGGACAAUGGGCGAAAGCCUGAUCCAGCCAUGCCGCGUGUGUGAAGAAGGCCUUCGGGUUGUAAAGCACUUUCAGUGGGGAAGAAAGCCUUGGGGCUAAUACCCUCGAGGAAGGACAUCACCCACAGAAGAAGCACUGGCUAACUCCGUGCCAGCAGCCGCGGUAAUACGGAGGGUGCGAGCGUUAAUCGGAAUUACUGGGCGUAAAGCGCGCGUAGGCGGUCUGAUAAGCCGGUUGUGAAAGCCCCGGGCUCAACCUGGGAACGGCAUCCGGAACUGUCAGGCUAGAGUGCAGGAGAGGAAGGUAGAAUUCCCGGUGUAGCGGUGAAAUGCGUAGAGAUCGGGAGGAAUACCAGUGGCGAAGGCGGCCUUCUGGACUGACACUGACGCUGAGGUGCGAAAGCGUGGGUAGCAAACAGGAUUAGAUACCCGGUAGUC